rnacentral:snRNA from 1 species
GAUCCGGAUACGAGUUCGU